GAUGAACGCUGGCGGCGUGCCUAAUACAUGCAAGUCGAGCGAAUGGAUUAAGAGCUUGCUCUUAUGAAGUUAGCGGCGGACGGGUGAGUAACACGUGGGUAACCUGCCCAUAAGACUGGGAUAACUCCGGGAAACCGGGGCUAAUACCGGAUACCAUUGUGAACCGCACGGUGCGAAAUUGAAAGGCGGCUCCGGUUGUAACAUAUGGAUGGACUUGCGUCGCAUUAGCUAGUUGGUGAGGUAACGGCUCACCAAGGCAACGAUGCGUAGCCGACCUGAGAGGGUGAUCGGCCACACUGGGACUGAGACACGGCCUAGACUCCUACGGGAGGCAGCAGUAGGGAAUCUUCCGCAAUGGACGAAAGUCUGACGGAGCAACGCCGCGUGAGUGAUGAAGGCUUUCGGGUCGUAAAACUCUGUUGUUAGGGAAGAACAAGUGCUAGUUGAAUAAGCUGGCACCUUGACGGUACCUAACCAGAAAGCCACGGCUAACUACGUGCCAGCCGCCGCUGUAA
rnacentral:rRNA from 1 species